GGUUAAGCGACUAAGCGUACACGGUGGAUGCCCUGGCAGUCAGAGGCGAUGAAGGACGUGCUAAUCUGCGAUAAGCGUCGGUAAGGUGAUAUGAACCGUUAUAACCGGCGAUUUCCGAAUGGGGAAACCCAGUGUGUUUCGACACACUAUCAUUAACUGAAUCCAUAGGUUAAUGAGGCGAACCGGGGGAACUGAAACAUCUAAGUACCCCGAGGAAAAGAAAUCAACCGAGAUUCCCCCAGUAGCGGCGAGCGAACGGGGAGCAGCCCAGAGCCUGAAUCAGUAUGUGUGUUAGUGGAAGCGUCUGGAAAGGCGCGCGAUACAGGGUGACAGCCCCGUACACAAAAAUGCACAUGCUGUGAGCUCGAUGAGUAGGGCGGGACACGUGGUAUCCUGUCUGAAUAUGGGGGGACCAUCCUCCAAGGCUAAAUACUCCUGACUGACCGAUAGUGAACCAGUACCGUGAGGGAAAGGCGAAAAGAACCCCGGCGAGGGGAGUGAAAAAGAACCUGAAACCGUGUACGUACAAGCAGUGGGAGCACGCUUAGGCGUGUGACUGCGUACCUUUUGUAUAAUGGGUCAGCGACUUAUAUUCUGUAGCAAGGUUAACCGAAUAGGGGAGCCGAAGGGAAACCGAGUCUUAACUGGGCGUUAAGUUGCAGGGUAUAGACCCGAAACCCGGUGAUCUAGCCAUGGGCAGGUUGAAGGUUGGGUAACACUAACUGGAGGACCGAACCGACUAAUGUUGAAAAAUUAGCGGAUGACUUGUGGCUGGGGGUGAAAGGCCAAUCAAACCGGGAGAUAGCUGGUUCUCCCCGAAAGCUAUUUAGGUAGCGCCUCGUGAAUUCAUCUCCGGGGGUAGAGCACUGUUUCGGCAAGGGGGUCAUCCCGACUUACCAACCCGAUGCAAACUGCGAAUACCGGAGAAUGUUAUCACGGGAGACACACGGCGGGUGCUAACGUCCGUCGUGAAGAGGGAAACAACCCAGACCGCCAGCUAAGGUCCCAAAGUCAUGGUUAAGUGGGAAACGAUGUGGGAAGGCCCAGACAGCCAGGAUGUUGGCUUAGAAGCAGCCAUCAUUUAAAGAAAGCGUAAUAGCUCACUGGUCGAGUCGGCCUGCGCGGAAGAUGUAACGGGGCUAAACCAUGCACCGAAGCUGCGGCAGCGACACUAUGUGUUGUUGGGUAGGGGAGCGUUCUGUAAGCCUGCGAAGGUGUGCUGUGAGGCAUGCUGGAGGUAUCAGAAGUGCGAAUGCUGACAUAAGUAACGAUAAAGCGGGUGAAAAGCCCGCUCGCCGGAAGACCAAGGGUUCCUGUCCAACGUUAAUCGGGGCAGGGUGAGUCGACCCCUAAGGCGAGGCCGAAAGGCGUAGUCGAUGGGAAACAGGUUAAUAUUCCUGUACUUGGUGUUACUGCGAAGGGGGGACGGAGAAGGCUAUGUUGGCCGGGCGACGGUUGUCCCGGUUUAAGCGUGUAGGCUGGUUUUCCAGGCAAAUCCGGAAAAUCAAGGCUGAGGCGUGAUGACGAGGCACUACGGUGCUGAAGCAACAAAUGCCCUGCUUCCAGGAAAAGCCUCUAAGCAUCAGGUAACAUCAAAUCGUACCCCAAACCGACACAGGUGGUCAGGUAGAGAAUACCAAGGCGCUUGAGAGAACUCGGGUGAAGGAACUAGGCAAAAUGGUGCCGUAACUUCGGGAGAAGGCACGCUGAUAUGUAGGUGAGGUCCCUCGCGGAUGGAGCUGAAAUCAGUCGAAGAUACCAGCUGGCUGCAACUGUUUAUUAAAAACACAGCACUGUGCAAACACGAAAGUGGACGUAUACGGUGUGACGCCUGCCCGGUGCCGGAAGGUUAAUUGAUGGGGUUAGCGCAAGCGAAGCUCUUGAUCGAAGCCCCGGUAAACGGCGGCCGUAACUAUAACGGUCCUAAGGUAGCGAAAUUCCUUGUCGGGUAAGUUCCGACCUGCACGAAUGGCGUAAUGAUGGCCAGGCUGUCUCCACCCGAGACUCAGUGAAAUUGAACUCGCUGUGAAGAUGCAGUGUACCCGCGGCAAGACGGAAAGACCCCGUGAACCUUUACUAUAGCUUGACACUGAACAUUGAGCCUUGAUGUGUAGGAUAGGUGGGAGGCUUAGAAGUGUGGACGCCAGUCUGCAUGGAGCCGACCUUGAAAUACCACCCUUUAAUGUUUGAUGUUCUAACGUUGACCCGUAAUCCGGGUUGCGGACAGUGUCUGGUGGGUAGUUUGACUGGGGCGGUCUCCUCCUAAAGAGUAACGGAGGAGCACGAAGGUUGGCUAAUCCUGGUCGGACAUCAGGAGGUUAGUGCAAUGGCAUAAGCCAGCUUGACUGCGAGCGUGACGGCGCGAGCAGGUGCGAAAGCAGGUCAUAGUGAUCCGGUGGUUCUGAAUGGAAGGGCCAUCGCUCAACGGAUAAAAGGUACUCCGGGGAUAACAGGCUGAUACCGCCCAAGAGUUCAUAUCGACGGCGGUGUUUGGCACCUCGAUGUCGGCUCAUCACAUCCUGGGGCUGAAGUAGGUCCCAAGGGUAUGGCUGUUCGCCAUUUAAAGUGGUACGCGAGCUGGGUUUAGAACGUCGUGAGACAGUUCGGUCCCUAUCUGCCGUGGGCGCUGGAGAACUGAGGGGGGCUGCUCCUAGUACGAGAGGACCGGAGUGGACGCAUCACUGGUGUUCGGGUUGUCAUGCCAAUGGCACUGCCCGGUAGCUAAAUGCGGAAGAGAUAAGUGCUGAAAGCAUCUAAGCACGAAACUUGCC
rnacentral:rRNA from 1 species